rnacentral:lncRNA from 1 species
UGUUUCUCUUUGUUAGUUUUAGAUCUUAUGUUCAUCGUCAUGACAAGCUCGAGUUCAUUGAAAACGGAGUCCAUAUGCAUCUUCUAUGAUGUUUUCGAUGUUGGGAGUUUUUGCCGGUCUUAUUCGAGGAAGGGUUCUCACCAUUUUCAUAUGGGCCUUUUCUCACUUGCUUCUUAUUUAUAUUUGUAUCAAGAUUGUGUUAUCCCAUGUCUUUAGCUUUCUAACAAAC